rnacentral:lncRNA from 1 species
CUUAGAAGUGGUGUAUAUAGAGCCAGGAAUAACAGCUCUUGCUGCCACCUAGGGUAGUAUUAAAAAAAAAAAUAAAAAUGAAGUUGAAAAUCUUUAAUCCAGGUACAUAAUAAAUUGCUUUUAUUGUCCCAGCUGUGUAAAGUACACUUGUUAUUCCAUCUUCUAGCAUCAGCAUCUAGCCAAUUCCCCUUUAAGUCGGUAGGCAAACUCCUGAUUGAUGAUGAGAUGUGCAGCUGGGACUGUGCACAGCCAGCCUGAAGUUUCUGUGUAACUGGAGUAGAUUUCUGUGCAACCCAUAUGCACAGACUAUGGCAAGAGAGUGAAUGGGAGGAAACCUGACCAAACCAUGGGAUAAAUCCUGCUGUGUUUGAGACAUGUAUAUCUGCUAAAGUGAAUGAGAAAUCAGUCACAAAUUUCAUCUCACUGGAGGCAGUUAAGGAAAACUAAGCAUUUGGAGAGCAUGUGCAUUCUUUCAAGGUUUCCCUCAACUGACCAUGCACAUUUUCUUAAAAGGGGAAAACACGAUCAGUACAGCUUGCAGAUAUAAUAGAGAGAGAGACAAUGGGGUAACGGAGUCUAACACCCCGACUGAGGCUGAAUCGCACCAGAGCCAGUGUUAGUCAAGCUUCGACUGAGGAAUGCCCAAAACAUUUCAAGUGAGUCAAAACUGCUGAAAACCUGGCCGAGUUCCCUCCUUUAUGAAAACUUUCCAAA